UACGUAGGGUGCGAGCGUUGUCCGGAAUUACUGGGCGUAAAGAGCUCGUAGGUGGUUUGUCGCGUUGUCCGUGAAAACUCACAACUCAAUUGUGGGCGUGCGGGCGAUACGGGCAGACUGGAGUACUGCAGGGGAGACUGGAAUUCCUGGUGUAGCGGUGGAAUGCGCAGAUAUCAGGAAGAACACCGGUGGCGAAGGCGGCUCUCUGGGCCUUACCUGACGCUGAGGAGCGAAAGCGUGGGUAGCGAACAGG
rnacentral:rRNA from 1 species